rnacentral:pre_miRNA from 1 species
AGUGAAAUUGAUGGUUUAUAUGGUAGCUCUAUGUUUAACUUUUUGAGGAACUGCCAAUUUUUUUUCCACAGCUGCACCAUAUUAUGUUCCCAUCAAUAAU